rnacentral:misc_RNA from 1 species
GAAAAGCGUAGGUUUCAAAGUCUUUCGAGGUCCAUCAUGUGAAGCUAUAUAAGGAUAGUGAUGCGCUACGAGAAAGGCCCGACCAACCAACCAACCAACAAUUCAAUCAAUCAUCUCAACCAAAUUACAGUAAUCUUUUAUCAUUUAUUUUACUGUGAAUUACAAUUUUCAAGUCUUAUUAUUUAAUUUCCUUCAAUUUUGUAAUAACUUUCCAGCAAUCAAUACAAGUCUUCAUUCGAGAGUGUUAAUAAAUUAUAUUUUAUAAGCCUUUGAGAGAAACUCUCUCUCUCGGGCGUGCUUUUCUUCUGAGACUCAAAGGUCUCGUAUCUACUGGAUUUUCACCCCUAUGGGUAGGGGGGCGGCUCUCUUUCCUCUUGCCAGAAACGUGAGUCUCCCUCCCUUCCUUACGGUGAGGUUGUGUAUUUUUCUUUUGGGCUUGCUUUUGUUGCAUGCAGGUGUGGUUUGAUUUGGAGAGGGUCUUGGAGAAACCUAUGAUGGUGAUGGAUCUUAUGUGCAGCGGUGCUGAUGCUGUCCUCCUGGGUAGCGAUUCUGCUUGUUGGUAAUAGGUCUGUUUUAUGGGGUCUAUUUUAGUGGAUAUGGCAUCUUUGGGGACUCUCUUUUCUGCUACUUGUUAGAUUGAUAGCUGGUGUUGUAGAGCUCUACCAUAUCGCCCUUAAUCUGAUUAAGUUGGGUCCCUGUUUAAGCAAAGGAGGAACUCUAGGACAUCGUUUUGUUUUGGGGAUUUGCUUAUAUGGCCUCAUUUAAGCGUAGAUUGGUAUGUUAUCUGCUACUGUGAGGUAUCCCUAGCGUAGUUGCGAUGGACCUCGACGUUGGGUCAUCUGUUACUUUGGAACCCAGGCAGCGACUAGAGCUUCAAGCUCAUGUGAGGAUGAUAAGAUCCGAAUCUUGAUCAUCUAGGUUGGGUUAUUUGAUGUAGGGCUCUUGUAUGUUGUAAUAAGCGAUGGGUCUGGUUAUUAGAGUUAGGGUUCUUCUGCUUUUGGGUCUUUAUUCUGUAAUGGGCCUGAACUUUAGUUUGGAGUUAUUUUUAGGCCUAUUAUGCAACAUGAUGCUUUAAUGAAAUAUAUUCUAAAGUUGGAAAAAAAUAA